rnacentral:lncRNA from 1 species
UGGUUGUCGUUUGUUUAUGUGUUACAUAUUUGUUUUUCGUUCAUUUUUUUUACACAAAUAAGGCCGUUAGUUUUCUAGUUUGAAUUGUUUUACAUUGUCUUAUCGGGGCCUUUUAUAGCUGACUAUGCGGUAUGGGCUUUGCUUAUUGUUGAAGGCCGUACGGUGACCUAUAGUUGUUAAUGUCUGUGUCAUUUUGGUCUUUUGUGGAUAGUUGUCUCAUUGGCAAUCAUACCACAUCUUCUUUUUUUAU